rnacentral:lncRNA from 1 species
CAAAAACUCUUCUUUUUGGGGACAAGUGUGUUUGGUUUCAUUUCCUUUUGUGCAUUGCAUAAAUUGGUUUUAAUAAUUUUUAGAGUUAUAACCAACCAACAUGUCUUCAGUUUGUUGUGGAACUAAAAAACAAAAAUUGAAUAACUCAUAUAGUAAUAACUUAGAGCGACCUUUAAACGGUUACCAAGAGUCUGUAGCUAUACCUGAUAUGUGUUACUUUUGUUUCGAUGUUUUGUAUUGUCAGCUGCAUAGCAUGGACCCUCCACAGACGCCAAAUUUUACCAAUGAUGCCUACCCCUUGUUUGUGACUUGGAAAAUAGGGAAGGAGCAUCGUCUAAGAGGAUGCAUUGGAACUUUCAAUGCAAUGCAUUUGCAUUCAGGUAAAUACAAGAAUUCUAAUAUCCCUUACACAAUUUGGAACAGAAAGGGUGACUUCAAAAAAAAUCUAAAUCUUUUAACAGAUGACAAAUUAUCAUCUAUGAUAUUAUUAGUGAUUAGCAAUAAUGCAGUCUGAACUAUGCUAUCUUGAAAUAAAGUAAUGUGUACAUAUAGUACUUACCAUAACCUACUAGAUA